rnacentral:misc_RNA from 1 species
GAUGAAGAACGCAGCGAAAUGCGAUAAGUAAUGUGAAUUGCAGAAUUCAGUGAAUCAUCGAAUCUUUGAACGCACAUUGCGCCCGCCAGUAUUCUGGCGGGCAUGCCUGUUCGAGCGUCAUUUCAACCCUCAAGCCCCCGGGCUUGGUGUUGGGGAUCGGCGUGCCCUCGCGGCGCGCCGUCCCCUAAAUCUAGUGGCGGUCUCGCUGUAGCUUCCUCUGCGUAGUAGCAACACUCGCACUGGAUCGCAGCGCGGCCACGCCGUUAAACCCCCCACUUCUGAAAGUUUGACCUCGGAUCAGGUAGGAAUACCCGCUGAUCUUAAGCAUAUCAAUACGCGGAGGA